rnacentral:lncRNA from 1 species
UUUUUUCUUUUUUUCUUUUUUUCUACUGGUUACUAUUGAGUUCCUGGAUGAUAACUUAUAAGUGCAGAGUUUAAAUAAACACUAAAGAGAAGCUCUAUUUGGAUUUUCUGGAGAAAAUUAUCCCAUUAUAAAAAAGAGGAACAUUUUUACUUCCUAAUACAACUGAUAGAAACAGGAAGCCUUCCCUCAUAGAAAGAAUGAGAGUGACAACUUUACUGCUUACUGAGAUUUUUCAAGUAGUAUAAUUCUGACUUUCAAGGAUAUAUAUCAUUAUUGUUGCACUAGCAUUUGAGUAUUGACUAUAUCAGCCACCAUGUUUAUUGCUCUACAUAAAUUAUCUCAUUUAAUUUUGAGAACAACUCCUUAUAGUACAUGCCAGUACUAUUCUCCUGUACGAGUCUUAAAGAGGACUUGGAAGCUACUCAAAGCCACAAAUCUAUUGAGAAGUGUAGCAAGGCAUCCAAUCACAAAUAUUCGGAUUCCAAAUCCAUUAGUCUGAACCAUUAUGAUGCAUUGUCUCCCAUUCUGCAGCAAUGUAUAUAGAUGCAAAGAGAAAGGCUUAACAAAGAGAGACAAAGAUAAGAAUAUCCAGUUAUUCAAGCUGUCUUUAUUUACAAAUCUGAUUAAAGGCUACUGUACAGUGUUAAAUUGUUUUUACUCUUUGAUAACUCUGCUUCAAGAAAUCUAGUUUCAGUUUGCCAGGUAACCAAAGACUACAAAUGUAUGCUGUGAAAAUAAUUUUAGAUAUUUGGAAGUUGUUGGAAACGGCCACAUUCUUAGUUGUAAACUACCAAUCUUUUUUUUUUUUUUUUUUAACAAGGUAAUAAUCCUGUUGAUAUUUUCUUUGGAAUGUGAUAUACUUCAAAAGGAGAGCAAAGUUAAAAUUUAAGUUUCUCAUACACUAUGUCUAGAUUUAUUGAAAUUCCUCUUUGUAGCCAAGUGAGAAUUUAGCUAUAAUCAUGUGCUGAAAAAAGGCUGCAGGUUUUUGAGUCUAGUAUUGUUAUGUUAAAAUGUUUAGGUCCAUUUUCAUGACUAUAAUUAAAAAUAUAUAUUAAAAAAUUAAGAAGUUUCAACUGCAAUUAACUGUGGCUCAGAGCAUAAGGCAGUGAAGGAUUUCUUGUUCUUGUGUAAAUGUUGAAUAAAUGUUGAAUUCCUUGGGGAAAUAACUUGAAUAUCCAUUGAUCUUACUAGUACAGUAAUUAAAUAUAUUCCCUACGGAAAUAUACUUUAGUGUAUUGAGAAGUUGCUUAUUGUCUGUGCAUCUUGAGCCAGGUAUCUAUUUUCUGGUUGUUAGCCCUGGGAUUGCUCACUGUCCCUACCAUUAUUACCUACAGAUGAAGGAGCUAUGUCUUCUUUUUCUCUUUGAAGUUCAUCUGUUUUUCCCUAAACAUCCUUUCUGCUAUUCUUAACAAUCAUGAUUUUUAGAGAAAAGGGAAAACACAAAAUAUAGUGUUUUUAGGAUUUAUAUUAGCAUUUACCAAGGAAUUUCCACUGAUAUUAAUGAUGGGAAUUUUAAAAACUAUUUAAAAGUUCUUAAUAGUGCUAAAUGAUUUCCCCAAAUGAGAGUAUGUGUCUGCAUUAUUCUUCCUUUUCAUUCCCCUGUUGUAUCCUAUCUCUAAAGACUUUCUAUUAACUCUGUUAUAACUACUACUGGGAGAAGGGCAUUGAUAAAAAGAUGCAUUCCUUCCUUCUUGAUUUCAUAUUCUAUUAUCUAACAUUCAUCAGUUUUCCUAUAUUCCCGGAGCAUAGAUCCUCUGGCAAUAAGAGGUCAUUUAACAUUUAACAUCAUGAUUAUUAAAUGCUGAGUUGAUAUAGGCUUUUAUUCUAAUACCAUACUUCUUAUCUAAAUUGUUUGUGUUACCCCAUAAUAGGAAGCCUUCAAUACAGAAUUGAUUAUUGAAUGCUGAAAAUUUAUGACAAGCACCAGCAAUGUAAUACAUCCCUGCUUUUGGGGAUAUUACAAAGUGGAUAAAGAUAUGGAUUGGGGAAUAUGAAAGUACAGUGGAAUUAAAUAAGUGUAAUCAAGAGAAAAGUAAAUGAGAAAUUCUGUAGGAGGAACUCCUCUUUUAGGAGAGAUGGCCUUUUGGAGGAAUAUCUAAAAGAGCCUUUCAUCAGAAGAGUAAGAGAGAGUGUAUAAUUUGGAAAGCCUAUUGAAAAGGUUGAUGGCAGGGUAACAAAUGAGGACAUGAGAGAAUGUGCCACAAGAGGACAGAAUAUGUUCAAAAGCUUAUAAGACUUCUAGGUUUUACUCCAGGGCUUAGAAAGCUACAAAGAGCAUCCUAUCUACUCUUACAACAAGAACUUGGACAAACUGAAAAUUCAUGACUUUUUUUUAAUACACAUCAGG